AUUCUGGACGGCUAUGUACCAGCUAAAACUGGUGGGUUCUGAAAAAGAGAGAAUGAAUGCUGCGCACAACUGGCAGUUGCUGCCACAACAUUCCAUAUACCAGAAACUCAAAAUACAAUAGAUGGAUAUUUUAAAAGGAGGGCAUCAUUGACAUCACUAAAUGCCAGUUAUGAGAAUUUGCUGCCAGGAAUGCCAAGCCUAUCGGGAGAACUGGAUACACAGAGGCCUCUGAGGUUUUGGCCAACUGCAAACGAUCAUAUCUGACGAAGGACACUACACAAUGGAAGAUGCCUGAAGGAAGGUGACUGACAGUCUGGCAAAAGGCUUGAACAACAAGCCACAGAAGAAUGGCAGAAGGAACGGGAUGUGCACCCUGAGGAAGCUAUCAUGUGGAAGAAGGAUUACACUCACUCCACGAGGCUCCAGGGGGUCGAACCAAGACUAUGGGCCAAAGGUGUGAGAAGGGGAGCACACACACUGUAUGAUCAUGCUAUCAACCUCAGGCUUCCUUCCUGCCCACCAGUAAGGAGCUCCGCCAGAGGUGGCCAGUGGAUUCUUUUGUGAGCAUGUGGGCAACAAUACAACACCAUCCUGAGUCCAUCUUCUACCGGCCUCCCAGACCAGUGCACUGUGCACAACCAACCACAUGAGUCAGGAUCCCUGAAAUUCAUACAAUGAACAUCAGCCUGGGCUUAA